rnacentral:rRNA from 1 species
AUUGAACGCUAGCGGGAUGCCUUACACAUGCAAGUCGAACGGAGUGGCGAACGGGUGAGUAAUGUAUCGGAACGUGCCCAGUAGCGGGGGAUAACUACGCGAAAGCGUAGCUAAUACCGCAUACUAUUGGAGCGGCCGAUAUCGGAUUAGCUAGUUGGUGGGGUAACGGCUCACCAAGGCGACGAGCCGUAGCUGGUUUGAGAGGACGACCAGCCACACUGGGACUGAGACACGGCCCAGACUCCUACGGGAGGCAGCAGUGGGGAAUAUUGGACAAUGGGGGAAAGCCUGAUCCAGCCAUGCCGCGUGUGCGAUGAAGGCCUUCGGGUUGUAAAGCACUUUUGGCGAGGAGGCGUUACCUGCAGAAGAAGCACCGGCUAACUACGUGCCAGCAGCCGCGGUAAUAC